UACUGCGGUGGGGGCGUCCGCGGCGACACAGGAACGGGCGUCGGGGUGAAGCUCCCACCGAGCCCGCGGGGUUCCGAGGAAGCUUCCGUCGCCCGGCGCGCUCUGGGCCGGGGGUUUUGUCGGGGAAGGUCACCUGGCGCCCACCAGGCCUCUGCCUGGGCACCCUGCCCUGGCGCCGCGCGUCCCGGCGGCCUCAAAGGCAAGCUUCUUCGAAUGGCUCACUUUUUUCGUAGAUGAGCGACUGCCUCUUUAAAUACUACCUUAAAAAAAAAAAUAAAUAAACAAAUCAGGGUUGGAAUUCCUUCUGCACGUAGCACACACUUUCUGGCAUCGGAACUGAGCUCUUCAAGGCCAGGAUGGUGAAUAGCUACCACUGUGCUCCCCUUACUGUGACUCAACCGUUUACUUUCAACAAACGUGUGUGGAGCUCCGACUCGGUGGGAACACUCGGGUGGGGGAAACGCCUCUAGGUUUGGUGUGCAAGCACCUGGGUUCUGUCACUUGAAGUUACAUGUUCUUUGAGCCUUGGUUUUCUCGCCUAGAAAAUCUUCAAAAUGAUCUAUGAAAACUUGUAAUCACUGCUUCAUGGCUGAAAGGAGCUGCUAACAAGCAUCAAAUGAGAAAAUGGUUUCUACGGAUGUGGCUCUGAUUCAGCCAGCAGAACCAGAGGUGGCUCAAUAACAAACAUGUCCUGUAACACCUGUUUUCAGAAAUAUGUAGGCAGUGAAGGAGAAACAAGAUUUGACAUCUUCGGAACCAGAAACUAGUCUAUGGAAAACUCUUCCAACCAUCGUACGUAUGGAAUUUUAAGCAUGUAUGAAGGAGCGAAGAUAGGACGAGGCCCAGAUGGAUGGCAAAGCCAAGGAAGAAAGGGUAGCAGCUAAGCUCCAAAGACCAAGUAUGAGAGCAUCCACCCAAGGAUCCAUCCUGCCCAUCCUGUACAUUCUGAAUGUGUGGUGCACACAUUUGCAAAGUGGCUUUCACCCCUUCAUCACAUUGAGGAAGGCUUCCCAAGGAAGGACAACCUCGGAAGGGUCCACCUCUCCAAACUGUGGAUCAGGCCUUAUUGGGGAAGGAUUCGUGGCAGCCCCUGGGACGGCGGAGAAAUUUCCCGGUGCAUUGGCCGCAACUGCUCUUUGGUUGCCAGAUAAGGAUGAAGCAAUCUGCGGGAGCCCAGAUCUCCUGUCUGUAUAUAUGAGCUGAAAAAUGCCUUCAGGGAAGGUUUUGCCUUUGAGAACGGAUGUGGUAAAAUAAACGUGGUGUGCUGGAGUAGGAAUCAGAAAAUUUGACCUUGCUGUGUGAAUUUGAGCCCAUUGGCUUGCCUCUCUGAGCCUCAGUUUCCCCGAAUGAAAAUGGGAACUUUGAGUAAGCUGCCUUCCCCGCCCGCUGUAUCGCAGCAUUUCAUAAGGCUCCGUAGAGAGUAAAAGCGUUCGUGUUGUGGUUGCAUACCCCUUGUGCUCUCUUUCUGCGGCUAAAACUGGAGCUUCUGCAGAUAUAUGUUGAUUUCAGCAAAGGAGUAGAAGAGAGCCUCAAAUGGGAGCAAUAGGCACUCUGGACGCCCUGACGGCAGAGUCUGGAGAACGGAAAAGCCAACUUUUCUCCCCUUGUGCUUGCAAUUGGGGAAGAGUGAGGAGCCGGGAAAGGUAAAUGCUGUCAUCUGCUGGUCAUUUCCUGUGUAGCAGCAUCAAAUUAAUAGUUUUGCAAAGCUCUCGUUCAGAGUUAGCUAAGGACCUGGAGGGAGGAGGAGGCACUUGCUGAGCACCUACUGGUUAUAAGGGACUAUCUUCAGGGAUGCUAUGAACAGAGAUAUGACCUAGCCCUGGAUGCUGCCAAUAAGGAGGACACGGACCCCAGGGAGCCAGGGGCGCCUCCCUGUGCCUGUGUGCCUCCAGCACACCCUUUGACCUCUCUGAGCUUCAGGUUUCUCAUCAGGUGCGUGGACUAGGAUGGUCUCCAAGGAUCUUGAAAGAUGAAGAGAAUAUUACAGAUGGGCACUGGGAAGGAAAGGAGGAGGGCAUCAAGAGAAGCCCUUGGAAAGUCUGACAGAUGUCCUCUUCCCUGGUGCCCACGUUUGUGACACCGUGGGCUAGGCUCCAGAUCGCUAAGCACCUGCCCUCCUCUGACUUCUGUUCAGGGGAAGGGACAGUGGAGUCGGAAAGACUUCUUGAAGGAAGACUGGAACCAACGCCUGCGUUGUCCCCACCAGUUUUAAGAAAUGGAACCAUAUAGUUGCCUCUGAAGUCAUCCAUUAUAUGAAUAUAUUAUCAUUUCUUUGUACAUUCUGCUGUGGAUGGCAUUUGAAUUGUUUCCUAUUGUUCCCAGGCUUUUACUGCUUUGGACAUCCAUGCACAUAUAUUUCUGUCAAGUAUGACCCAGGGGGUGGAAUUGUUGGGUUGGAGACCAUGUGCAUUUUCAACUUUACGGUUAAUUACAAUUCAUUAUCCCAAGAGAUCACAGCGAUGGGAACUCACAUUGGAAGUGUGUGUAAGUUCCCAUUACUCCAAAUUCACUGCAAGUACUUGAUGCUAUCAGCUUUUCUACAGUUUUGCUGAUUUGGUGGGGGCAAAAUGGUGUAUUACUGGGUUUUUUCAUUUAUUUCUCCCCAAUUAAUAAUAAGCAUGUUUUCUUACAUUUGUUCUUUUGCAUUCCUUCUCUGAAAUGCUUAUUUGUUUUUCUGUUUUGUCCUAUUAAUCUGUAGGAGUUUAAAAAUAUAUUUGAGGGGUGCCUGGGU